CUGUGUCCUUACACAUGCAGUCGACGGUAGCACAGAGAGCUUGCUCUCGGGUGACGAGUGGCUGUGUGUGGUGAGUAAUGUCUGGGAGACUGCCUGAUGGAGGGUGAUAACUACUGGAAACGGUAGCUAAUACCGCAUAACGUCGCAAGACUGAAGAGAGGGACCUUCGUGCCUCUUGCCAUCAGAUGUGCUCAGAUGGUAUUAGCUAGUAGGUGGCUAACGGCUCACCUAGGCGACGAUCUCGUAGCUGGUCUGAGAGGAUGACCAGCCACACUGACUGAGACACGAUCAGACUCAUACGGAGCAGCAGUGGAUAUGCACAUGGCGCAGCUGAUGCAGCAUGCGCGUGUAUGAGAGCUCGGUGUAGUACUACAGCGGAGAGUGUGUGUAUACGCAGCAUGACGUAUGCAGAGAGCACGCUACUCGUGCAGCAGCGCGUAUACGAGUGCAGCUAUCGCAUACUGCGUAGCACGAGCGUCUGUCAGUCGAUGAUCUGAUCACUGCACUGCAUCGACUGCAGCUGAGCUGCAGGCUGAUCAGCUAGCGUGAUGCUAAGAUCGAGAUCGUGCAGCGUCUGCAGACUGAGUCAGUCACGUGAUCACGAUCGAUCUGAGUCAGCGACAUCAUAGUGCUAGCUGCUCGACUACGUAUCACCUAGGUCGCGAGUAGUAUGAUGAUGACGCACUGACAUGGUAUCAUCACGAGACUACUGCUGAUCAGACUCGAUGC
rnacentral:rRNA from 1 species